GCUCUCUUGGCGGCGAGUGGCGGACGGGUGAGUAAUAUAUCGGAACGUGCCCAGUAGCGGGGGAUAACUACUCGAAAGAGUGGCUAAUACCGCAUACGCCCUACGGGGGAAAGGGGGGGAUCGCAAGACCUCUCACUAUUGGAGCGGCCGAUAUCGGAUUAGCUAGUUGGUGGGGUAAAGGCUCACCAAGGCAACGAUCCGUAGCUGGUUUGAGAGGACGACCAGCCACACUGGGACUGAGACACGGCCCAGACUCCUACGGGAGGCAGCAGUGGGGAAUUUUGGACAAUGGGGGAAACCCUGAUCCAGCCAUCCCGCGUGUAUGAUGAAGGCCUUCGGGUUGUAAAGUACUUUUGGCAGAGAAGAAAAGGUAUCCCCUAAUACGGGAUACUGCUGACGGUAUCUGCAGAAUAA
rnacentral:rRNA from 2 species